rnacentral:rRNA from 1 species
AUUGAACGCUAGCGGGAGGCCUAACACAUGCAAGCCGAGCGGUAGAGUUCCUUCGGGAACUUGAGAGCGGCGUACGGGUGCGUAACACGUGUGCAACCUACCUUUAUCUGGGGGAUAGCCUUUCGAAAGGAAGAUUAAUACCCCAUAAUAUAUUGAAUGGCAUCAUUUAAUAUGAAAACUCUGGUGGAUAGAGAUGGGCACGCGCAAGAUUAGAUAGUUGGUGAGGUAACGGCUCACCAAGUCUGUGAUCUUUAGGGGUCCUGAGAGGGCGAUCCCCCACACUGGUACUGAGACACGGACCAGACUCCUACGGGAGGCAGCAGUGAGGAAUAUUUGACAAUGGGUGAGGGCCUGAUCCAGCCAUCCCGCGUGAAGGAUGACGGUCCUAUGGAUUGUAAACUUCUUUUGUACAGGAAUAAACCUAUUUACGUGUAAAUAGCUGAAGGUACUGUACGAAUAAGCACCGGCUAACUCCGUGCCAGCCGCCGCGGUAA